rnacentral:tRNA from 1 species
GGAGAGUACAGCUCAGUGGUAGAGCAUAUGCUUAGCAUGAAUGAGGUCCUGGGUUCAAUUCCCAGUACCUCUA